rnacentral:rRNA from 1 species
AAUGGCUCACCAAGGCGACGAUGCGUAGCCGACCUGAGAGGGUGAUCGGCCACACUGGGACUGAGACACGGCCCAGACUCCUACGGGAGGCAGCAGUAGGGAAUCUUCCGCAAUGGACGAAAGUCUGACGGAGCAACGCCGCGUGAGUGAUGAAGGUUUUCGGAUCGUAAAGCUCUGUUGUUAGGGAAGAACAAGUGCGAGAGUAACUGCUCGCACCUUGACGGUACCUAACCAGAAAGCCACGGCUAACUACGUGCCAGCAGCCGCGGUAAUACGUAGGUGGCAAGCGUUGUCCGGAAUUAUUGGGCGUAAAGGGCUCGCAGGCGGUUUCUUAAGUCUGAUGUGAAAGCCCCCGGCUCAACCGGGGAGGGUCAUUGGAAACUGGGAAACUUGAGUGCAGAAGAGGAGAGUGGAAUUCCACGUGUAGCGGUGAAAUGCGUAGAGAUGUGGAGGAACACCAGUGGCGAAGGCGACUCUCUGGUCUGUAACUGACGCUGAGGAGCGAAAGCGUGGGGAGCGAACAGGAUUAGAUACCCUGGUAGUCCACGCCGUAAACGAUGAGUGCUAAGUGUUAGGGGGUUUCCGCCCCUUAGUGCUGCAGCUAACGCAUUAAGCACUCCGCCUGGGGAGUACGGUCGCAAGACUGAAACUCAAAGGAAUUGACGGGGGCCCGCACAAGCGGUGGAGCAUGUGGUUUAAUUCGAAGCAACGCGAAGAACCUUACCAGGUCUUGACAUCCUCUGACAACCCUAGAGAUAGGGCAUUCCCUUCGGGGACAGAGUGACAGGUGGUGCAUGGUUGUCGUCAGCUCGUGUCGUGAGAUGUUGGGUUAAGUCCCGCAACGAGCGCAACCCUUGAUCUUAGUUGCCAGCAUUCAGUUGGGCACUCUAAGGUGACUGCCGGUGACAAACCGGAGGAAGGUGGGGAUGACGUCAAAUCAUCAUGCCCCUUAUGACCUGGGCUACACACGUGCUACAAUGGACAGAACAAAGGGCUGCAAGACCGCAAGGUUUAGCCAAUCCCAUAAAUCUGUUCUCAGUUCGGAUCGCAGUCUGCAACUCGACUGCGUGAAGCUGGAAUCGCUAGUAAUCGCGGAUCAGCAUGCCGCGGUGAAUACGUUCCCGGGCCUUGUACACACCGCCCGUCACACCACGAGAGUUUGCAACACCCGAAGUCGGUGAGGUAACCUUUAUGGAGCCAGCCGCCGAAGGUGGGGCAGAUGAUUGGGGUGGAGUCGUAACAAGGUAGCCGUAACGGUACGGUCGGAGAGUUUGAUCCUGGUCGUAACAAGGUAGCCGUACGGACGGAGAGUUUGAUCCUGGUCGUAACAAGGUAGCCGUAGCCCGGAGAGUUUGAUCCUGGUCGUAACAAGGUAGCCGUACUCGGAGAGUUUGAUCCUGGUCGUAACAAGGUAGCCGUAGGUCGGAGAGUUUGAUCCUGGUCGUAACAAGGUAGCCGUAGGGACGGAGAGUUUGAUCCA